rnacentral:rRNA from 1 species
UCCAGAGGGUGCAAGCGUUACUCGGAAUUACUGGGCGUAAAGCGCGCGUAGGUGGUUCGUUAAGUUGGAUGUGAAAUCCCCGGGCUCAACCUGGGAACUGCAUUCAAAACUGUCGAGCUAGAGUAUGGUAGAGGGUGGUGGAAUUUCCUGUGUAGCGGUGAAAUGCGUAGAUAUAGGAAGGAACACCAGUGGCGAAAGCGGCUUCCUGGUCCGACACCGACGUUCAGGCACGAAAGCGUGGGGAGCAAACAGG